rnacentral:rRNA from 1 species
AAAUUGAAGAGUUUGAUCAUGGCUCAGAUUGAACGCUGGCGGCAGGCCUAACACAUGCAAGUCGAACGGUAACAGGAAGAAGCUUGCUUCUUUGCUGACGAGUGGCGGACGGGUGAGUAAUGUCUGGGAAACUGCCUGAUGGAGGGGGAUAACUACUGGAAACGGUAGCUAAUACCGCAUAACGUCGCAAGACCAAAGAGGGGGACCCUCGGGCCUCUUGCCAUCGGAUGUGCCCAGAUGGGAUUAGCUUGUUGGUGGGGUAACGGCUCACCAAGGCGACGAUCCCUAGCUGGUCUGAGAGGAUGACCAGCCACACUGGAACUGAGACACGGUCCAGACUCCUACGGGAGGCAGCAGUGGGGA